rnacentral:rRNA from 1 species
UACGAACGGUCCAAACGUUAUUCGGAAUCACUGGGCUUAAAGCGUCCGUAGGCGGCUCGGAAAGUAGGGUGUGAAAUCCCACGGCUCAACCGUGGAAUUGCGCUCUAAACUAUCGAGCUAGAGGGAGAUAGAGGUGAGCGGAACUGAUGGUGGAGCGGUGAAAUGCGUUGAUAUCAUCAGGAACACCGGAGGCGAAGGCGGCUCACUGGGUCUUUUCUGACGCUGAGGGACGAAAGCUAGGGGAGCGAGCGGG